rnacentral:rRNA from 1 species
UCCUACGGGAGGCAGCAGUGGGGAAUUUUGGACAAUGGGGGCAACCCUGAUCCAGCCAUGCCGCGUGAGUGAAGAAGGCCUUCGGGUUGUAAAGCUCUUUUGGCCGGAAAGAAAAGAUUUCGUCUAAUAAACGGAGUUCUUGACGGUACCGGCAGAAUAAGCACCGGCUAACUACGUGCCAGCACCCGCGGUAAUA